GGUGGCCUGAUGGUUAGAGCUUCCGCCUCGGAUGCGGGAGGUCGUGGGUUCGAUCUCCGGUGGAUUCA